UACGAAGGGGGGCUAGCGUUGUUCGGAAUUACUGGGCGUAAAGCGCACGUAGGCGGCUUUGUAAGUUAGAGGUGAAAGCCCAGGGCUUAACCCUGGAAUUGCCUUUAAGACUGCAUCGCUAGAAUCGUGGAGAGGUGAGUGGAAUUCCGAGUGUAGAGGUGAAAUUCGUAGAUAUUCGGAAGAACACCAGUGGCGAAGGCGACUCACUGGACACGUAUUGACGCUGAGGUGCGAAAGCGUGGGGAGCAAACAGG
rnacentral:rRNA from 1 species